AUACCUUUCUCGGCCUUUUGGCUGAUCAAGUGUAGUAUCAUUGGGGAGACAACGAUAUUAAAUUUAUUUUUUGUGGGGGAGGGUCCAUCACAGUGGCUUGCCAUUGGGGCUCUCAGGUGUCGCCUAGGCGUUGCACUACAGCCCAGGCAGGUGCACCCCAA
rfam:Triticum aestivum genome assembly, contig: Triticum_aestivum_CS42_TGACv1_scaffold_543412_6DS